UUAAAUUGAAGAGUUUGAUCAUGGCUCAGAUUGAACGCUGGCGGCAGGCCUAACACAUGCAAGUCGAGCGGAAACGACAACAAUGAUUCUUCGGAGGAUUUGUUGGGCGUCGAGCGGCGGACGGGUGAGUAAUGCCUAGGAAAUUG
rnacentral:rRNA from 1 species